UAAUCAACACGGAUAAGGAAUAGUAAAGAUGCCCUUUUGAAAGAAGAGAACUGACGGAUGGUGCAAGUCAGUCAAAAACAUCUUGAACUCACCUUUGAGUUGCAAGUGUGAACUUUUAGUAAUGCUUGCCGUACACCUGCGUUAAAGGAUAAUGAAGCGAGUGAUUUAUUCACUAAUUGUGGGUGGUACCGCGGGAGAUUAUACAUAAUGCCUCUCGUCCCUAUU
rnacentral:ncRNA from 1 species